UUAAGCGACUAAGCGUACACGGUGGAUGCCCUGGCAGUCAGAGGCGAUGAAGGACGUGCUAAUCUGCGAUAAGCGUCGGUGAGGUGAUAUGAACCGUUAUAACCGGCGAUUUCCGAAUGGGGAAACCCAGUGUGUUUCGACACACUAUCAUUAACUGAAUCCAUAGGUUAAUGAGGCGAACCGGGGGAACUGAAACAUCUAAGUACCCCGAGGAAAAGAAAUCAACCGAGAUUCCCCCAGUAGCGGCGAGCGAACGGGGAGGAGCCCAGAGCCUGAAUCAGUGUGUGUGUUAGUGGAAGCGUCUGGAAAGGCGUGCGAUACAGGGUGACAGCCCCGUACACAAAAAUGCACAUAUUGUGAGCUCGAUGAGUAGGGCGGGACACGUGGUAUCCUGUCUGAAUAUGGGGGGACCAUCCUCCAAGGCUAAAUACUCCUGACUGACCGAUAGUGAACCAGUACCGUGAGGGAAAGGCGAAAAGAACCCCGGCGAGGGGAGUGAAAAAGAACCUGAAACCGUGUACGUACAAGCAGUGGGAGCCUCUUAAUGAGGUGACUGCGUACCUUUUGUAUAAUGGGUCAGCGACUUAUAUUCUGUAGCAAGGUUAACCGAAUAGGGGAGCCGAAGGGAAACCGAGUCUUAACUGGGCGUUAAGUUGCAGGGUAUAGACCCGAAACCCGGUGAUCUAGCCAUGGGCAGGUUGAAGGUUGGGUAACACUAACUGGAGGACCGAACCGACUAAUGUUGAAAAAUUAGCGGAUGACUUGUGGCUGGGGGUGAAAGGCCAAUCAAACCGGGAGAUAGCUGGUUCUCCCCGAAAGCUAUUUAGGUAGCGCCUCGUGAAUUCAUCUCCGGGGGUAGAGCACUGUUUCGGCAAGGGGGUCAUCCCGACUUACCAACCCGAUGCAAACUGCGAAUACCGGAGAAUGUUAUCACGGGAGACACACGGCGGGUGCUAACGUCCGUCGUGAAGAGGGAAACAACCCAGACCGCCAGCUAAGGUCCCAAAGUCAUGGUUAAGUGGGAAACGAUGUGGGAAGGCCCAGACAGCCAGGAUGUUGGCUUAGAAGCAGCCAUCAUUUAAAGAAAGCGUAAUAGCUCACUGGUCGAGUCGGCCUGCGCGGAAGAUGUAACGGGGCUAAACCAUGCACCGAAGCUGCGGCAGCGACACUAUGUGUUGUUGGGUAGGGGAGCGUUCUGUAAGCCUGUGAAGGUGGCCUGUGAGGGUUGCUGGAGGUAUCAGAAGUGCGAAUGCUGACAUAAGUAACGAUAAAGCGGGUGAAAAGCCCGCUCGCCGGAAGACCAAGGGUUCCUGUCCAACGUUAAUCGGGGCAGGGUGAGUCGACCCCUAAGGCGAGGCCGAAAGGCGUAGUCGAUGGGAAACAGGUUAAUAUUCCUGUACUUGGUGUUACUGCGAAGGGGGGACGGAGAAGGCUAUGUUGGCCGGGCGACGGUUGUCCCGGUUUAAGCGUGUAGGCUGGUUUUCCAGGCAAAUCCGGAAAACCAAGGCUGAGGCGUGAUGACGAGGCACUACGGUGCUGAAGCGACAAAUGCCCUGCUUCCAGGAAAAGCCUCUAAGCAUCAGGUAACAUCAAAUCGUACCCCAAACCGACACAGGUGGUCAGGUAGAGAAUACCAAGGCGCUUGAGAGAACUCGGGUGAAGGAACUAGGCAAAAUGGUGCCGUAACUUCGGGAGAAGGCACGCUGAUAUGUAGGUGAAGCGACUUGCUCGUGGAGCUGAAAUCAGUCGAAGAUACCAGCUGGCUGCAACUGUUUAUUAAAAACACAGCACUGUGCAAACACGAAAGUGGACGUAUACGGUGUGACGCCUGCCCGGUGCCGGAAGGUUAAUUGAUGGGGUUAGCGGUAACGCGAAGCUCUUGAUCGAAGCCCCGGUAAACGGCGGCCGUAACUAUAACGGUCCUAAGGUAGCGAAAUUCCUUGUCGGGUAAGUUCCGACCUGCACGAAUGGCGUAAUGAUGGCCAGGCUGUCUCCACCCGAGACUCAGUGAAAUUGAACUCGCUGUGAAGAUGCAGUGUACCCGCGGCAAGACGGAAAGACCCCGUGAACCUUUACUAUAGCUUGACACUGAACAUUGAGCCUUGAUGUGUAGGAUAGGUGGGAGGCUUUGAAGUGUGGACGCCAGUCUGCAUGGAGCCGGCCUUGAAAUACCACCCUUUAAUGUUUGAUGUUCUAACGUUGGCCCGUAAUCCGGGUUGCGGACAGUGUCUGGUGGGUAGUUUGACUGGGGCGGUCUCCUCCUAAAGAGUAACGGAGGAGCACGAAGGUUGGCUAAUCCUGGUCGGACAUCAGGAGGUUAGUGCAAUGGCAUAAGCCAGCUUGACUGCGAGCGUGACGGCGCGAGCAGGUGCGAAAGCAGGUCAUAGUGAUCCGGUGGUUCUGAAUGGAAGGGCCAUCGCUCAACGGAUAAAAGGUACUCCGGGGAUAACAGGCUGAUACCGCCCAAGAGUUCAUAUCGACGGCGGUGUUUGGCACCUCGAUGUCGGCUCAUCACAUCCUGGGGCUGAAGUAGGUCCCAAGGGUAUGGCUGUUCGCCAUUUAAAGUGGUACGCGAGCUGGGUUUAGAACGUCGUGAGACAGUUCGGUCCCUAUCUGCCGUGGGCGCUGGAGAACUGAGGGGGGCUGCUCCUAGUACGAGAGGACCGGAGUGGACGCAUCACUGGUGUUCGGGUUGUCAUGCCAAUGGCACUGCCCGGUAGCUAAAUGCGGAAGAGAUAAGUGCUGAAAGCAUCUAAGCACGAAACUUGCCCCGAGAUGAGUUCUCCCUGACUCCUUGAGGGUCCUGAAGGAACGUUGAAGACGACGACGUUGAUAGGCCGGGUGUGUAAGCGCAGCGAUGCGUUGAGCUAACCGGUACUAAUGAACCGUGAGGCUUAACCUU
rnacentral:rRNA from 1 species